AUUGAACGCUGGCGGCGUGCCUAAUACAUGCAAGUCGAACGCAGUGGGGAUGGGUGAGUAACACGUGGGUAACCUCCCAUCAGAGGGGAUAACACUUGGAAACAGGUGCUAAACCGAUACUGAUGGAUGGACCCGCGGUGCAUUAGCUAGUUGGUGAGGUAACGGCUCACCAAGGCCACGAUGCAUAGCCGACCUGUGAGGGUGAUCGGCACCACUGGGACUGAGACACGGCCCAGACUCCUACGGGAGGCAGCAGUAGGGAAUCUUCGGCAAUGGACGAAAGUCUGACUGAACUACGCCGCGUGUGGGAAGAGGGUGUUCUGUUCAAGAGACUGUGUUGUUGAAGAUGCGGUUUUUAACCAGAAUGCCACGGCUAACUUCGUGCCAGCAGCCGCGGUAAUAC
rnacentral:rRNA from 1 species